rnacentral:rRNA from 1 species
UGUCUAUGCCAUACCACCCUGAACACCCGAUCUUAUCUGAUCUCAGAAGCUAAGCACGGUAGGGCCUGGUUAGUACUUGGAUGGCAGAACCACAGUCAUACUGAUAA